GGUCUUGAGGGUAUAUAUAUGUGUAUAUAUGUACACUCUCCAGUGACCGCCACUCAGCAACAAUCGGCUAACAACGGUUUAUGGACAGUCAUACUCUCUGCAGCUAAACUCUGGGGCCACAUGGGAAAAUAUUGAAUAAGAAUAUUUUAUUCAAGACUGGAAUUUCAAGCAGCUUGUAAUCAUGGUUGCAAUGCGGUCAUGCGCUUGAAACAAUUGGAACUCAUUUCUUGAGGAAAUCCAUUGGAAUGAGAGACAACACAGCACGGGGGAAUCAAAACUUCAUUAAAGAUUGAUGACUCACGUGUCGAAACGACAGACUAUCCCUAGCAGUAAUUUGUUUGUGAUGGGAUGAAAUCGAUACUGAUGAAGAAGUCGGAAGGGAAAGUCGGUGGCACAAGUGACUGGAGCUAGGAAGAACACCAAUACAGAUGAUCAAAGCAAUGCAGAUUGAAUGUUUCCUCUACAACGAAUGAUUGACUUUUAUACGAGUUGAGAACGAACGCAGAAUUACAAAGUUUAUGUACAACAUUCCUCUAACAUUCGGUUUCAAGACUGAGAGAACAUUACGGACCGUCAAAAAUUUUUUUGUCCCAAUAUCAAUGAAUAAAUACAAUAUUAAAAAUAAUAACGUUGAAAAUCGAUGAUGAAAAUUAUAGGAUAUAUCAUAAAUAUUGGAAAUUAAUUCAAUUAGCUCUAUAUAAAAAUAAACUGCGAGGACAGGCUAUUUUAAAUGCAGGAAAUAAAAUGAGCACGUGACAUCUAUCCACUGGUAUUCUUGGUGACAAAAGGGCGAGAGUCAAAGUACAGUUUUCCUGAUGAUUGGGUAAAUAUAGACGAAGUUAUUCUCGAUUUAAUGCUAAAUAUCAGUCACUGUGACAAGUGGUACGAUGGUGUAUACGUCCGGUCAGACAGCCAAUUUCUUUCCACACUUUUUCGGUGGAAAUAAUUGAGGGUGUAAUUAUUUUAAUUGCAUUACGUAGAUUGCAGUUAAAUAUUCAAUUACAGGGACCGGUGGAGAUGUAGAAGUUGAUCUGGGUAAUAAAACAGAUGCUCGUUGGGAAUCAAACCUUUUCAGAAUGGUUGCUUGAUCCAAUAGGUCGUUUCAUCUUACAUCGAAAGCUGUAAUACACAUCUGGUGUUACUUUCUCCAUUAUAUUUUACGCCUAGGGGAUACGAAUUUCAUUUAGAUGAUGGUAAUAUGAGGAAUGUUGAAAUAUUCAAUUUUCAUAUUUCGAUUGGUUAAUGCAUUAUGUCACGUUGUAGGUUGCGAGAAAAAAUGUGAAGUGUCACAUUUGAAUUGAAUUUCUGAUAAUUUAAUUAUUUCAUUUCUAUUGCCAGAUUAUUCUCAAGGGUUUUUUUCCGCGGCAUG